rnacentral:rRNA from 1 species
GGGUCCGCGUUUCAUUAGCUAGUUGGUAGGGUAAUGGCCUACCAAGGCAACGAUGAGUAGCUGGUCUGAGAGGAUGAUCAGCCACACUGGAACUGAAACACGGUCCAGACUCCUACGGGAGGCAGCAGUGGGGAAUAUUGCGCAAUGGGCGAAAGCCUGACGCAGCAACGCCGUGUGAGGGAUGAAGGCUUUCGGGUCGUAAACCUCUGUCGGAAGGGAAGAACGGGCAAUGGUCUAAUAGGCCGUUGUUUUGACGGUACCUUUAGAGGAAGCACCGGCUAACUCCGUGCCAGCAGCCGCGGUAAUACGGAGGGUGCAAGCGUUAUUCGGAAUUACUGGGCGUAAAGCGCACGUAGGCGGCCUUGUAAGUCAGGGGUGAAAUCCCACGGCUCAACCGUGGAACUGCCUUUGAAACUGCAGGGCUUGAAUCCUGGAGAGGGUGGCGGAAUUCCUGGUGUAGGAGUGAAAUCCGUAGAUAUCAGGAGGAACACCGGUGGCGAAGGCGGCCACCUGGACAGGUAUUGACGCUGAGGUGCGAAAGUGUGGGGAGCAAACAGGAUUAGAUACCCUGGUAGUCCACACCGUAAACGAUGGAUGCUAGGUGCCGGGC